CCUUGCGUCUUCCCGUACACAGAAAAUUGCUAAAUUCAUUAAUUUGAGAUGUCUGGUUUUCUUUAAUUAACAGUCAUCAUUCGAUGUUCUGACGACCUGGGUUUUUUUUUUUUUUUGCAAAAACUCCUACAUAUCCUGGCUUCUCCCUUACAGUCUCUCCAAGUGAUCUGAGAGCCUCUCUCCCGGGCCUAAGUGCUUAGUAUGUCCACCAAAUAGAACGUAAUUCUCAACUUCAAGGUUGUGGGGGUUUUUCAGUCGACACAUAUGUGAGGGUGUUCAGUGCAGCAUUGUUUAUAAGACUGAACACAGAUUUAAAUAUCCGUCAGAGCCGGUUUAAAGAACCUUCCGUGCUCCAGGGGACGGAAUACCGUGCUGCAGGAGAAAAGAUGGAAGUUGCACCUCAUGUGCUGAAAUCUGUAUUGUGUACAGGAAGCAAGAUGCAGAACACGUAUGGUGUGCUGUCAUGUGAAAAAGGAGGACACAUGGUAUGGUGUGCUGUCAUGUGAAAAAGGAGGAGGCAAGGGUGGGCGAGAAGGGGUCGGUGUGUGCUUGUAAUAUGCAUAGGAAUUUUCCCGGAAGGGGGCUUCAGGAAAGGGGUACCAGGAGAUGGCAAAGCGGGACACUUCCUUUUGCAUUAUUGGCAUGUUUGGCUGCAUUUUAUUUAUUGUUUUGGGGUUGCAAAAUGUCUUCACCGGAUUAAGCAGUAGCUGGGCUGCCAUCAUUCGGGAAGGCCUUGGCAACGCCGUGAAGGAAGGCAAAGUCGUCUGACCCCUUGAGCCUGAGCCCCUGCUGCCUGACGGUACCGCACCACGGCCCACAGGCUCCCCCUACGGAACAGCAGGCCAGAUGUUUUACUGACGUCACAGAUAACGAUCACUGCAGUAUUUAAAUGGACCCCAAGAGAAAAGCUCCAGAAUUUUCUUAAUUGCAUUCUAAAGCAGUGUCCGUCGGCACGUUCCAGCGCUGGCUGGGAGCAGGGCCCUCCCGGAGCCCCGGUCUCCACGGAGGGUGACACUGCAGUUCCGGGAGAUGCGUGAUGAUGCGGAGGUCGGAGGCCGCCCUCUGUGGAGGCCUUCCCCAGCCUCUCUAGAGAGAGGGUCCAUCUCCCCUUGCCCUGGGCCCCGCCGCCUUCGUGAAGCUGAAUGGCCCGUCAGGAAACCGCGGGCCCAGGCGCCAGACAGACGUGGGUUUGGAUGCUGGCCCUGCCCCUCACUGUCAGCGUGAACCAGCAGCUGGCAGCUGAAUCAUCCCCAGGAGGGCUUCCUGGAGGAGGUGACGUAGACCGGGAGCCUGGAGGAGGGAAGGCGCGCAGGGAGGACGUGACGCCGACCCGUGGGUGCAGGCAGAGACGUUUGGACCAAAGCUGGUGGUGGCAGCACCUCCUACUCCCACCUCACCUCCGUGUGACGACGUCCUUGGACUAGAUUCCCUCCAGAUUUCUCCGCAGCGCCGUCCAGCCCGUAGCUGCAGCUCCCGCCUCUUCACCAGACCCAAUACCACCCCUAGCUCUCGAAAGAGGUUCUACAGGUGGAUGAAAGCCUAAUCUCCACAUGAAGAAUAGGACCUCUGACAUAUCAUAACGAAGAGUUAAUCUUAUCCAGGUUCAGAGCCAGAAACCCGUCAUAUGAAAUCCCAGCGAAGACCGACAUUCUUUCCAGGUUCGUUACUCGCCGUGGAGCUGAGUUUUCCAGCGGUGCCCAAGCUAAGCAGCUGUCAGGCGAAACGGAGCCAUUUGUGGCCGCUCUGCGGGGCCCGGAGGAACGGCUCUCCUGGUGUGCGGGUUCCUCCUGGGGGGAGAUGCCGCUUGGGAAGCGUGAAUGAGGAGACCGGAAAGGCUGGGAGGGACUGGGGGGGUCCCGGUUUGCAGACACCAGGAGGCCACAGGUCUGGUCCCCUGCAAAGGCGCCCAGCGCGCUGAUGGGAAGUGCCCCAGGCUUCAAGCUUCGAGCCUGCAAAUUUAACUCCUACCCCCUUCCAGUCAGAAGAGGAAAAGCUGCAAGAGGGCUGUGAACAGAGGUGUGUCCACGGGAGGGGGGAGGAUGCACCCGGGCUCCCCAUCCGGGCAUGCGUGCAGGGAGACGGGCGCAGGCCUCCCUUUCCAUCCUGUUCUCCUACGGGAGCAGAAAGGCCGGUGGGGGAGGUGUGACACGAUUCUGCUCGGUCUGUGCGUCCAGUAAGCCCUUUUCUCUUUUCCAGAUGGCUUGCAGCACUUUAGUUCUUUCUUUCGGGGACCCGGCAGGGCUCCGUUGUUUUUCUGGAUUCCAGGGUGUACCCCACAAAUUCCCCGGGGUGGGUGGGGAUGAAACCACUCUGCAGUGUUCUCGCACGCAGCAGUCACAGCGGCCUGAGCUCGAGGGGAGCAGUGACUCCAAGAGGCCAGCCACGAGGCGAAAUCUGGGGGUCCACACCCUCCAGUCACGCACCGCCUACGGAGGUGCCGCUCAGGCUGGAAACUCGCAAACGAGGGAGCGCACCGGGGGCCAGGUGGCGAAUGCCUCGCUCGCCUACCUAGCAUCUAACCGGUGCCCACCGUGUGCCAGCUUCCGAGCCAGCCGCUGGGCAGAGAAAUGGACCCCCCGGGGGCUCCCAGUCCAGUGGGGAUACACACCUGACACUGGGGUCCCCCCCGCUCUGAGCUCUGGGGGUGUCAGGGUGCUUCCCACCUGCCUGCCUGAACUUCCUGUCCCAGCGCGUCACCUGCCAGCCCGCGGUGGGCAAACCUCCAGCUGCCGUGUCACCUGACUGCUUCUCGGGAUGCCUCCCGGUCUCCGGGCUUCCCGAGGGUCCCCGCGUCACGGCUCAGAUGCCCCCGUUGGCGGACCUCCCCGACCCCUGAUGGCCGAGAUCCGCAAAGCUGGGGCUAAAUAGAGACGUGAGCCUCCUGGGAGCCCGGGAAAGACCGGGGCGGAGACCUGCAGGUCUGCAGUUGGCAGACCGUGCAUCUUAAGCGUGAGGGUCCCCUGGGCUUGAAGAGCGCGUUUCUCCGUAAAGCGCAGCACAGGCAGGGUUUUCGGGUGACAAAGCUGCAUCAGCACCGACUCGGCGGCAGGCGGUAGGUGCCCGAUGGAGAGUGGCCCGGAAUGGGCAAGAACCCCCGCCCCGCCCCCCAAGGAGGCGGACGCACGAUGACGGCAAAGAAGGAAGCUGUGCGCUUUGUUUGAAGGGAAGCUGUUACAGAGAAAGAGGAAUCGGGCAAGAGGGAGAGGACGACGCGUCACGGCCGCUGCCAGGAGCAGCAGUGAUGGCCGGUCGCCAGGUGUCACACGGGAUCAGGGUGGGCAGGACGCUGCACGCGGACCCGCACAACCCCUGAGGCUGCCGGCCAGACAGCAGCGCUCAGCGUGGGGCCCAGGAACAAAGGCAGGUUCACGUUCCUACGAAACCACUCUCACAUUGCGGGCUGAAAGGAAGGGUCAGAAGAGAAGAAAGCAGACGCCGGGGGAAGAAGACUCACAAGAAAGGAAGACGGGCUGACAUGACGUGGAUUGCAGUAAACUCGAGCUUUAGCUCGGGUCCAUCUGUACGUUAAUGCCCGCCUCCGAGAUGAUUUCACCAGAGGCAAAUCCCACAGGCCACCUGUUGCUUUAACUCUCUUUCUUGUCUGGUGGGGAUGCUGGGACUCCCCGAGGGUCAUGGAGCAGCCAGUGACUAGAUCCUCCCGGGGGAAGAGAGCGACCAAGUGCUCAACCCCGGACCCCAAGCUCUUCGAUUUUCGUCCCUAAUGGGAAGCAGAGCCCUCGACAGCUGGAGGCCCGAGAGGGAACUCAAACCGCGUGGUCGGUGGUUGGGCCCGCGGACCGCUGCGUGCCGGCGGGCGUCCCCGGGACCAGGGGACGGGACGCGGGGCCGCAGUGUUGGUGUUCGUGUGACUUCGUCUCACGAUGGAUGAGCCGUGAGGCCCGAGGCCUGAGCCGUGGCCUCUGCGGGUGGCGCAGGCCAGCCCCCCGCCCCUCCUCCAGAGGCUUGGCUAACCCCCUCCGCAGAGGUCACCCUUCCUGCCGUGGCGUCCUCGCACCAUCAGGGGACGUUCAGUUUGCACUCCCGCAUUGCCGAGCACCAUCCCUGUGGGCAGAAACACCCCGUGCUGCCCCCGGCCCCCACCUGGUCGUCUCCCCAGCUCCCAGCUGACGCCUGAGCUCCCUGAGGCUCUGCAGAGACCUUUUGCUUCUGGAUGACAGAUGACUCUCUUCUCCUCUGGCCCAGGGAGGGGGACCUCCGCUUAAUGUUACCGAAUGUGCCAGCAGGGGCGGAAAUUCCCUGAUUCAUCUGUGCACUUCGAGGAGAAGGCAAACGAUGGACACGCUGCGGUUCGUGGAAUAAGUAGCUCUCGUAAAGCCAGACUAAGCGCGGUGAUUGGCAAUACGGAUUUCCCGUCCGAGUCCUUAGACUCUGUUCCGUCAGCACGUUCGGGCUCUGUGUCCAGAGAUACAUCAAAUGAACAGCACCACCUCCAGCCCCACUCAGGGCGUGGGCCGGGCCCCGGUUUGUCUCGGAAGGUCAGGCUGAGGGAUGCAGGAGCCGGCUCCGGAUGGACGUGUGUGGUCGGAGAGGUGCCCGCCGGCUUCCUGCUGCCUUGAGGACAGAGCCUAGCACCCAGUGGUCCCCAGGCCUGCCUCCCGCCUGCAUCUAAGUCCCUGCCCUCCACAGGGCUUUGCACACAGCAACCUCCCUCUCUGCCCAGCAGGCCAGCCUCCGAGGGACCACAGGUACCUCUGAGAACUCCCAGGGGACUGGCCAGCCUGGCUGGGCAGCUGAUGGUGGUGGACGGAGGGGAGAGGUAGACAGGGAGUCAAACACAG